rnacentral:ncRNA from 1 species
GUUUACUGCCACGGGAGCCCAGUUGUGCUGGGUUGAGAGGAGGGGGAACAAGGCCCCUCGACCGUUGAACCUGAUCCGGGUUAAAACCGGCGAAGGAAGGCUCUCUUCUCGUGCG